rnacentral:rRNA from 1 species
UAGGGAAUCUUCAGCAAUGGACGAAAGUCUGACCGAGCAACGCCGCGUGAGUGAAGAAGGUUUUCGGAUCGUAAAACUCUGUUGGUAGAGAAGAACGUUGGUGAGAGUGGAAAGCUCAUCAAGUGACGGUAACUACCCAGAAAGGGACGGCUAACUACGUGCCAC